rnacentral:rRNA from 1 species
GGGUUGUGAGGUUAAGCGACUAAGCGUACACGGUGGAUGCCCUGGCAGUCAGAGGCGAUGAAGGACGUGCUAAUCUGCGAAAAGCGUCGGUAAGGUGAUAUGAACCGUUAUAGCCGGCGAUGUCCGAAUGGGGAAACCCAGUGCAAUUCGUUGCACUAUCGUUAACUGAAUACAUAGGUUAACGAGGCGAACCGGGGGAACUGAAACAUCUAAGUACCCCGAGGAAAAGAAAUCAACCGAGAUUCCCCCAGUAGCGGCGAGCGAACGGGGAGCAGCCCAGAGUCUGAAUCAGCUUGUGUGUUAGUGGAACGGUCUGGAAAGUCCGACGGUACAGGGUGAUAGUCCCGUACACCAAAAUGCACAGGUUGUGAACUCGAAGAGUAGGGCGGGACACGUGGUAUCCUGUCUGAAUAUGGGGGGACCAUCCUCCAAGGCUAAAUACUCCUGACUGACCGAUAGUGAACCAGUACCGUGAGGGAAAGGCGAAAAGAACCCCGGCGAGGGGAGUGAAAAAGAACCUGAAACCGUGUACGUACAAGCAGUGGGAGCACCUUCGGGUGUGACUGCGUACCUUUUGUAUAAUGGGUCAGCGACUUAUAUUCUGUAGCAAGGUUAACCGUAUAGGGGAGCCGCAGGGAAACCGAGUCUUAACUGGGCGUUAAGUUGCAGGGUAUAGACCCGAAACCCGGUGAUCUAGCCAUGGGCAGGUUGAAGGUUGGGUAACACUAACUGGAGGACCGAACCGACUAAUGUUGAAAAAUUAGCGGAUGACUUGUGGCUGGGGGUGAAAGGCCAAUCAAACCGGGAGAUAGCUGGUUCUCCCCGAAAGCUAUUUAGGUAGCGCCUCGUGAAUUCAUCUUCGGGGGUAGAGCACUGUUUCGGCUAGGGGGUCAUCCCGACUUACCAACCCGAUGCAAACUACGAAUACCGAAGAAUGUUAUCACGGGAGACACACGGCGGGUGCUAACGUCCGUCGUGAAGAGGGAAACAACCCAGACCGCCAGCUAAGGUCCCAAAGUCACAGUUAAGUGGGAAACGAUGUGGGAAGGCACAGACAGCCAGGAUGUUGGCUUAGAAGCAGCCAUCAUUUAAAGAAAGCGUAAUAGCUCACUGGUCGAGUCGGCCUGCGCGGAAGAUGUAACGGGGCUAAACUGUGCACCGAAGCUGCGGCAGCGACACUAUGUGUUGUUGGGUAGGGGAGCGUUCUGUAAGCCUGCGAAGGUGGCCUGUGAGGGUUGCUGGAGGUAUCAGAAGUGCGAAUGCUGACAUAAGUAACGAUAAUGCGGGUGAAAAGCCCGCACGCCGGAAGACCAAGGGUUCCUGUCCAACGUUAAUCGGGGCAGGGUGAGUCGACCCCUAAGGCGAGGCCGAAAGGCGUAGUCGAUGGGAAACAGGUUAAUAUUCCUGUACUUGGUGUUACUGCGAAGGGGGGACGGAGAAGGCUAUGUUAGCCGGGCGACGGUUGUCCCGGUUUAAGCAUGUAGGCGGAGGUUCCAGGUAAAUCCGGUACCUUAUUAACGCUGAGGUGUGAUGACGAGGCACUACGGUGCUGAAGUAACAAAUGCCCUGCUUCCAGGAAAAGCCUCUAAGCAUCAGGUAACAUCAAAUCGUACCCCAAACCGACACAGGUGGUCAGGUAGAGAAUACCAAGGCGCUUGAGAGAACUCGGGUGAAGGAACUAGGCAAAAUGGUGCCGUAACUUCGGGAGAAGGCACGCUGAUAUGUAGGUGAAGCCCCUGCGGGUGGAGCUGAAAUCAGUCGAAGAUACCAGCUGGCUGCAACUGUUUAUUAAAAACACAGCACUGUGCAAACACGAAAGUGGACGUAUACGGUGUGACGCCUGCCCGGUGCCGGAAGGUUAAUUGAUGGGGUUAUCCGUAAGGAGAAGCUCUUGAUCGAAGCCCCGGUAAACGGCGGCCGUAACUAUAACGGUCCUAAGGUAGCGAAAUUCCUUGUCGGGUAAGUUCCGACCUGCACGAAUGGCGUAAUGAUGGCCAGGCUGUCUCCACCCGAGACUCAGUGAAAUUGAACUCGCUGUGAAGAUGCAGUGUACCCGCGGCAAGACGGAAAGACCCCGUGAACCUUUACUAUAGCUUGACACUGAACAUUGAGCCUUGAUGUGUAGGAUAGGUGGGAGGCUUUGAAGCGUGGACGCCAGUCUGCGUGGAGCCAACCUUGAAAUACCACCCUUUAAUGUUUGAUGUUCUAACGUUGGCCCCUGACCGGGGUUGCGGACAGUGUCUGGUGGGUAGUUUGACUGGGGCGGUCUCCUCCCAAAGAGUAACGGAGGAGCACGAAGGUUAGCUAAUCCUGGUCGGACAUCAGGAGGUUAGUGCAAUGGCAUAAGCUAGCUUGACUGCGAGCGUGACGGCGCGAGCAGGUGCGAAAGCAGGUCAUAGUGAUCCGGUGGUUCUGAAUGGAAGGGCCAUCGCUCAACGGAUAAAAGGUACUCCGGGGAUAACAGGCUGAUACCGCCCAAGAGUUCAUAUCGACGGCGGUGUUUGGCACCUCGAUGUCGGCUCAUCACAUCCUGGGGCUGAAGUAGGUCCCAAGGGUAUGGCUGUUCGCCAUUUAAAGUGGUACGCGAGCUGGGUUUAGAACGUCGUGAGACAGUUCGGUCCCUAUCUGCCGUGGGCGCUGGAGAAUUGAGGGGGGCUGCUCCUAGUACGAGAGGACCGGAGUGGACGCAUCACUGGUGUUCGGGUUGUCAUGCCAAUGGCAUUGCCCGGUAGCUAAAUGCGGAAGAGAUAAGUGCUGAAAGCAUCUAAGCACGAAACUUGCCCCGAGAUGAGUUCUCCCUGAGACUUUAAGUCUCCUGAAGGAACGUUAAAGACGAUGACGUUGAUAGGUCGGGUGUGUAAGCGUAGCGAUACGUUGAGCUAACCGAUACUAAUGAACCGUGAGGCUUAACCUUACAACGCCGAAGCUGUU